CAUUAAUAUGGAUAUCUACAUCAAAGAAACCAGAGAAUUUCGUUGACGACAGCAUUUUAAUAGAACUUUGUACGGCGCAAAUGGAAAACAUGAUAAGAUGAGUAGCAGUUAACAGUGAGCAGAUGUCGAACAUCUUGAUGGCAAAUUGAUGACGAACGCUAGCACAACUGAAAUAUACAAUAUUAUCUACAUCGAAGAAUUACAAGCCCGAAUUACAGAUGGAGAAUGCAAGCACUAAAAAUCGCGCAAAAAAAGUAAAGUAUCCUUAAUCAUUGUAUAACACAAACCUAGCAUAAUUCAGUACAACUCUCGAGGUUAAUUUUAAAAAUGGAAGGGGGACUUUUACAAGUACUAAAAUUGCGCUUUUCAAGGAGAAACGCAACGCUCUUUGGUACGGAACCAACUUACUAACGUUGCAAUGAGAGCAUUUAGCAUUCCCGCUACGAGUGCCAACGUGUAUUGCAUAAGAAAUUGCAUGAUCAUAAUAAUUUCGUAAAACGGCGACGCACUGCACUUGGGCGGCAAUUGCAUUUUGAUAAUAAACUCCUUCUCUUCGACAAGUUGCUCAGAGCCGGCUUUCUUUUUAAUGAUCAUGUCACAUGCUCCAAAUAAAAGUACCGCGGCCGAAUAUGCAAUGAUGCUGCCUUUCGAAAUACGGUGAGACAAAAUCGCUUUGUUUAUCAUCGGUUGGAAUUUUGUACGAGUGGAUUCACACUUAUUCCAGUCUUCGGCCAUCAUCGCAAGAAUGACACAAAUGGUACUGAAUAAUACGAUAUAUACACGCAAAUUACAAUAUAUAUUAUUAUACAUAUAUGUAUUAAUAUACAAAUUAAAAGUAAUAAUAAUAGGGCUAUUCUUUAAUUAUUUAAAUUAAUUACUACAUACAAGUAAGCUGACAUAUACAAUCCCGACUUUUCCUUUUUAAAUUUACAAAAAAAGAUUUUAAAUAAAAAUAUUUAUAGAUAUAUCCAUCUCUACUUUAUCAUCGCUUCAGCAUCGCUGAUAAGUCUUACCGUCCAUUUAGCCAAAAAAGGCUCAACUUGAAAAAUAACAGGCUGUUCGACAAGCACAGGCUCAUCGAGUGCAUGAUGUCCAGCAGAGUAUCGGAACCGAUGUGAGUGAAGAGGUACCAAUACUGUAAGAGCUGCGAGAUGGACAUCACCGUCGUCCAAAUUACACGCAUCAAGAAUCUGCACGAGGAAUCCGGCCAAACGCCAAUCAGCCGCAAAGUGAAUUCCAUCGGACCGCCAAUGGUGCUCGUAGGUAUCAUCUCUCCCUCUUUAUCCGUGCUUCUCGAUUAAUUGACCGAUUCCGAUAAUCGUUACAGCUACCGGCUGCCCCUCCGACCAACCGACGUAAAUUCGCAGUUCUAUCACGUUUCUUCCGAGAAAGAAGAUAGACCCUCCCUGAUUAAGCGCAACCAGCGGGUCACGUGCCUGCGUACUCCGGACACUGAUGUCGGAUAGAACCUCUCACGGCUAGCUAAACGCCACGCUACACCAUAAAAACUUUCCACGACGGCUGACUAAUCUCGUAGAGACAGCGGAUAAAGUGCUGCUUACGUAGAACGGCUAUACCGUCCGAAAGCUAUUAUACGAACCGCACGUAAAUGUAUAAUGACGAUCACCGGAGAAAGGGACUAUCGUAGGUAAGAUGUAGAGUAUUCGCAUAUAUUUCUUUGUGCAUCGCUUGCGAUCCCGUCGAAAAAAUCAUGAAACGUUUACUUUAAAAAUGCACGGUAAUCUGCCAAAUUGCUCCGUAAACUCUCUCGGGCAAUCACGUGGAAAAUUAAAAUACAAUUGUCUGCAGAGAUAAUGAAAUAUAAUAGCGAGCCAUAAUAAAGUUUAAUUUGUCGCAUCUCGUCUGCUAUACAUGGAAGACUCGUACAAGCGACAAUUCGCAUCAAUCGUCUGAUUAUUUCACUUUAUCAUAUAAAUAUUUUAAAACAAUUUUUUGAAUUUAUUCAAGAGAGAUUAAAUAAAAUGUGAACUUUGUGCCCUGUUCAAAUAUUCAUAUGUAUUUUUUCUUCCUUCUUCUUUUGUCAAGAUAAUUGCUGAAAAAACAAGUUUUUAGAGAGUAUUCCUUCGACUUCGAUUUAAAACAGUAAGUAAAUAAAUAAUAAAUUAACAGGUUUGCAUUUACCGCUAUGAAAAUUCCAACACCUCCGAUCUCACAAUGAUGUAAAGUGACAAUUUUCCAGAGCGCAUGUAGCGGCAGCCGUUUGCUUCCGCACCUAAAGUUACGUCACGUAAUAAAUUUUCCCCGUAUCAGCGGCGGUGGAUGUGCCACACUUCCGGACGAGCGCAGACGUAAGAUUCGCUCGUAUCUCAUGCAAAUGUAUGCACCGCAGCCGUUUUGAGGGAAACCGUAUCGCGCGAAACAAUCCCUUCCGAAGAGCGCAAUGAUAGACGUCGUCUCUCCGUCUCUCAGUUUCUUCAACCUUUCAGUGAAAAUAAAAGGAAACUACAGAGUAAAAUGCAAAAAUUGUUAACGUGAAUGUUUUCUCGAUAAAAAUUGAUUCGAUUUCCAUCUCCGACGAGAAAUUAUAACGAUAUUUCUCUACCGCACAUUUUGCAAACGACUGACAGCUCAGCAUCUCGAUAUUAUUAAAUUUACUCGAAAUGAUAACCACCUGAGAGGAAAAAUCGCAGAUAAGUAUAUCAACUUAUACUCACUAUUUGUUUCAAAGUGCAUAAUAAUCAUUCCUAUAAAUCAUCCUUGCAGUUAAGUUAUGGCAAACUACAGAUGUUCAGUCAUCAUCCGUUAUAGUCUCAUAGGAAAUCAUGAUGCCGGCAGAUAGGAAGAUGUUGCGAGGAAAUACGAAAUAAUGCGAGCCGUAAAAAUUUACGCGCGCUCUGGGACGCGAAUUUCAGUAGAAAAACAAUAUCGAGUCGUCGAUAUCAACUAGAUGAAAAUGUGUUACUAUAUCCAUAAAUCUAGAAUAAAAAAGACCACGCAUCUGUACUGAAAAUAAAUAUUUCGAAAGAAA